rnacentral:lncRNA from 1 species
ACUGAACGCGAACUGUUUUGCUUUGCUCCGGGAAGAGUGCAGACACAUAACGUGAAAUCCCGAGCUUUUUGCGUGGUGCAUUUAAAAUGCUUCCUUAUUUAUAUUACCCUCAUUCCCUCACCUCUCCCACCCCCUCACCAGUCCUUCCAAAUUUCCCUAGAAAUCUAUGUAAAGCGUGUGGAGGGGAAACAUUUGCACAAAAAGUGAAGGAGCUCGCCAAGGUAGGUUAUACCGUGCACUGUCUUGUGUUUGGCUUUUGCAAAGUUUAUGAUGUCAGUUGGUGGAUGUUUGGAGGAGUAGAUCUGUGUGACUGGCCAUGAUUACUGUCUUUUUCACUGAACAAUUAUAUUUGUACAAAUUGCCUAGACUUCUUAAGCAGGCUUUCCGUGGUGGUGUGUGUGUGAUUUGUGCAGGAGUCAUGCCAGUUGGAAGAUGAUCCUGUGGUGUUAAGCUGGGGGGAGGAUGCUGCCUCGCCUCCCCCCACCCUGAUGUUUUUUUGGAGGGGGGAUUCUGUAGUGGGCAAGUGCUUCCUCCACUCUGUCAUAUUUUGGAUUGGUUCUCAUUCACUAAGUGUCUUCAUUCUUGUAAUUAUUUUGCACAUGAAAAUUUAGUUGCAAAAAGGCUUCAUGAAGUCAGAGCAAAGUGGGGAGUGUGGGGAGAUAAAGAGUCAGAGCAUGGUGGUGGUGAUGGUAGUGGUAACAUUUCUUGCACAGAGAAUUUAAUCUUCUCUCUUCUUGGGAUUUGGAGGAAAUGCUAACCCUUUGUGGGUACAAUCAAAAUAAUUUUUUAAAAACCCUAUUAGUGGGUAAAAUGAAAUUAAACACACAGACACACACACACACUCGCGCGCGCGCACACACACACACACACACACUUCCAUUGCAAAAGCAAAAACUGCUACAGCUCACAACCACCUGUAGAGGGAAAUCUUUAUGCAUGAUUUCUUAGGGCUGGUUGUGUAGAGGAAAACCGCCUGAAAAGGCGCCUGGCAAACUUUGCAGCAAGAAGACAAGGGAGGCUGAACUCAGCAGGGUGGAGGGUUAUAUCGUGGGGGCGGCAGAGGAGGGAAAGGCUGGCGCCUGGCCAGGGUCUCUCACAGCCUGGGAAGCUGCAGAGUUGGCCUCCUUGCUUUGGGAACCUGAUCCGAAGAGGGGUCCAGUUUGGAGUGGAAAAGCUGCAAGGGGACAGGGGCUUGCAGGGCAUAUGUGACGGCGGGGGGAGGCAGUGUUCCGUGAGGUCAGGGGCUGUGUGGUGCCUGGUGCCUGGUGGAGAUGGCGAGGACAGAGGCCAGCUUUUCCAGCGGGGCCCUGGUUUCCCUGCUGCCAUGCAAAGCAAGGUGGUUAUCAACAAGUGUUUCUCCUGAGAAGAUUAGUUUUGACAGAGACUUCAAGGGGUUCUCUAAUCUGGGUAAAUCCACCAGGGCUUUAUUGUGUGUAGCAAAGAGAGUCAUUCUUUGUUAGGAAGGAGCUUGGGGAAGAGAGGUGGAGCGCCAGAGAGGGGGGACUUUUGAACAUCAGCCAUUUGACCUUGGGGGCCAGAGUUCAAAUCCUCCAGAGAGUUGAAAAGGCUGAAAAGAAGGUUACCCCUUUUGCUGCCCCCAUACCGUUGAUACUGAGCUUUAUGUUUAAUGUGAAAAUUCAGUGCCUGGUGCUGGCUGGACCUCGUCAGUGGGAAGUCCAUGUGUCUGAGAGCAGGGUUUGUUUUUUUUUUUUAAUCUAGGGAAGCAGGCAGCACUCUCAGCAGUAGUACUGUAUUUUUUUUUUCCCCUGCAAAUGAUCUUCUAGGAAAGCUGAAUCACCUCCACUCUGAAGAGCAGCCACUCCAGGAGGUGGAAUACAAGUCUCUAGAGGAGGGAAUACCCCCCACACACGGCCUUUAAAUAUAGACGUGGGGGCACCAUUUGAACGUAAAGUUAAAAUGCACUUGGAAAUAUGGGGAAGGUAACAGGCCAUGGUUCUCUGGACGGGGCUGGGCUAGUAGUAGUGAAGACCACCAGGAUGAGGAUGUGAUUCUGAAGCAGUGAGUUAGUAUCUUUUUGACUUGGGAGGGGGUGGCGGGGNGGGGGGGGGCGGGUGCUGGGUUACCAAAUUCACAUGAGAAGUGAAUAUCUUUCAGCAGGUUUGGGGGUUGGGAGAUUUGAGGGGGGUGCUUGGAAGUUAGAAUCAGCAACAUCUGUUGUCACAGCAAGGCAGAGAAUAUUCUAGCUCUCCAAGCUAGAAUAACCCGAAGGCAAUGAGUACAGACAUAGAAACAGAACUGGAAGUCAGAUGUGGGCACAGUCUGGACUAAGCCUGCUCUUAGUGUGAGGUGUUGUCCAUCCUUAUGGAUUUGCUGGUGUGGAGUAAAACCAGGCCAGCAUGCCCGACAUCCAGUGUCCGCAUCACUUGAAGUCCCAGGUCAGGGAACUGCCCCCUCAGUUUUUGUCCAGGGGUGGAGGAGGGGUAGGCUUUCCUAGCCUUGGAAGGGAAACUGUCACUCCUCUCAGAAGGAAAUUGUUUCUGUUCUAUACCUAAGUCAACAGGUGUUUGUCCCCUCAAUAUAGAGGGAGAGGAGAGUGGUUAUAAGAAAAAUCUGGUCUGGGCGCCUGGGUGGCUCAGUCAGUUAAGCGUCUGACUUCAGCUCAAGUCAUGAUCUCACAGUUCAUGGGUUCAAGCCCCAUGUUGGGCUCUGUGCUGACAGCUCAGAGCCUGGAGCCUGCUUUGGAUUCUGUGUCUGCCUCUCUUUCUGUCUCUCCCCUGCUCGCUCUCUCUCUCUCUCUCUCUCAAAAAUAAAUAAACAUUAAAAAAAAUUUUUUAAAAAGAAAAGUCUGGUCCUAGGAAUAUAGCCACAUGUCCUCCAUAGCCCCCCCCCCCCCCCCCCCCCCCCCCCAGACUCAUCAGUAUCACUCUCUACUCUGCUGUGAUCUCCUGAGGACCAAGUUCCAGAAGGACACCGUUUUCACCCUAGCCUUAACGGUGUUUCAUGUCUGUCAGCCACUCCCCCAAGAUCCAUGUAAAGACCACUUCUCUCAAGUUCUCCCAGGUGCUCAAGCACACAUCACAUGCAAGUAUAUAUGCGCAAAGUACAUGCACAUAUGCGCGCCAAGACCACAACGAUGCACAAGUAUGUGCACUUAUGCAGAGCUCUCGCCACAUUUGAGCUCACAGGCAACCCACAAAAGAGCGGACCUUCUUCAUCUUCUGUCCCACCUGGUUUAGGGGUGGAUCUGACAUCCCUGAGUGUAUGUGGUAAACCUGAAUUUGUCUUGGGUUUCCUCAUACUCAUUCAGGAGUGUCAGUUCCCCCUUCACGCGACGCUGGAGAGCAUUACCACAAGCAGAUGUCUACCCACUUAGGAGAAGAAGGAAGUCCACCUUUCCCCUUCAUCUGAGCCUGGGUGCUUCACCUUUGUUUCUCAAAAGAAAAAUAAGAGUAGGAACAGGACCAACUACAUAAUUUGUAGGGCCCAGCAUGAAACAAAAAAGGAGGGGCUCCUUGUUCAAAAAGUAGGAAAAAAGUGCUGUUAGAGAUACUAAAAUGUAAAACUUUUUUCCUUGAGUGUUUCUCUCAACUUGUCAUGAUGUUUUUUAUUUGAUGUUUCAUGUGCUAAAUAAAAAUAAAAAUUUCAAAUUAUUAGCAUGAAUUUUACCACCCAUCUUUAUAUUGUUCAAUGCUAUAGAAGAGCAUUUCAUUCAUUUGCAGAAUCACCAAAAUUACACAAUUCACAUUUCAUGGGUCAUACGUGCAUAGGUAUUUUGUUCUUACCUGAGCAAGGGAAACAUGGAACAAAAUGUACUCAACUAGUUUUGUUUCACUUUUUAUAUGCAAACAUUCUCCCAGCUCUCUCUGACUUCAGCUUAAUGAUAAGGAAGGACUGAAAGGAAAAAGAACUAUUAGCUGUCCUAUGGUUCCCUUUCCUCCUAUAUCAUCAUUUUCAGCAUAGAUGGUUGGCAAAUACAGGGAAGGAAUGAGAAUAAGAAACUGUACAAUAGGGUUCCUUGUUCAUUAGUAUUUCAAAGAACCCCACUGCCUUCUUUCUGCAUUUGAAGCAAGUUCUGGUUCAAAUAGCACUACCUCUGGGUACUGUCAAUCCCCCAUUUACUCACAGACUUACCUUUCACUUGCUUUGAGUCUCGUUGAGCUCCCACUGGAAUUUUGUACUCUUGGGGGAGUACCAACCCCAUGGGGCAGCAAGGAAUGGUGAGCACAUCCGUGGCACAGAUCUUCUCUUCUGACACAUUCUCCACUGUCCAACAGACUUUACUUACACAAGUCCAAAGGCAAAAUUAUUAUGAAUUUCAAGACAGUAACAUCAGAGUAUUAAACCAAGCAUGAGGCCCUUCUGAGCACAGGGCUAUGUGUGACUACACAAGUUUCACACCCAUGAAGUUGCACAGCAGGAGGAGGCUAGAAGUAACCCAGAUCCCAGACUGAGAACACUGUUGCUCAUCUUCUCUCAUCAAGCCAAUAAUCCUAUCUGCAGCAUAAAAAUUCAGCGGCCUCCAUUUUUUAUCCAUUGGGGUUUUCUUCUAACCAAGUCCCACUCUGUGAAAAGUCCACCACUUCCUGAUGACGGUGUUAAAAGUCAUCUGCUGGUCGCUUCUGGGUCUGCUGAAGCCUUGGGUUAGAGCCCAGGCCUGGAAAGGAAGUAUCCAUCCAGUCCCUACCCACCACUUCCAAGCUUGGCUCCAUCAAGCAGAACUUCUGCCUCAUAUAUAUACUUAGGUUUCGCCACCUACAAAUGAAUAAAAUAAAACUUAGCUUGCUUCAUGAAUAAUUGUGUUAAUUAUUUAAUGACAGGUUCUCAAAAAUGACUUUGGCAGUUGGGGCGCCUGGGUGGCGCAGUCGGUUAAGCGUCCGACUUCAGCCAGGUCACGAUCUCGCGGUCUGUGAGUUCGAGCCCCGCGUCAGGCUCUGGGCUGAUGGCUCAGAGCCUGGAGCCUGUUUCCGAUUCUGUGUCUCCCUCUCUCUCUGCCCCUCCCCUGUUCAUGCUCUGUCUCUCUCUGUCCCAAAAAUAAAUAAACGUUGAAAAAAAAUUAAAAAAAAAAUGACUUUGGCAGUAAGUUCAAUUGAUGUUGAUAUAGAAGAAGUAGGACUUAAGGCUCAAAAAGUCAAGAGAAAGACAGUCCUAUAUUCUGAUGGACCCCAACGGGAAGGGAAUUUUCCUUUCCUUCAUCCGUUGCCUCCUUACUCCUUACCCUCUAAGGAGCAAAGCUAGAGGGGACCUCAGAAAUGUGAGGUGGACUAGGGUGGAAAUCAGAUGGCAUUAAAAAUGCAUCCAACCUACAGAAUUAAGACACUAUUGACCCUCCAUCAUUGGUUCAGGGACUUUGAGAAUUGUGUUUUCAGCUUUAAUCUAGUUUUUCUUCCUUGCCUGGUUCUUUAGGUGACAGAACACCCUUUUGUGAAACAUUUAACUUAGACUAAGCUACUAAGAGUACCAAGAGAAAAGAGGGAAAGGAAUUACUCUUAUUCUUUUAUAUAACCUUUACUGGACUUGGAGGCUGCUGCUGCAACAGCCCAGUUAGUAGACUGGAAGACCAAUUGAUAAAUAAUUACUUACUGCUUGUGAAUGAGGUUAGCUCAGUGCUUGACCCGUGGUGGAUGUUUAAUAAAUGCUAGCUGACUCUGGUAGGGCUUAUUAUUGUGGCAAUAUGCUAUAGUUGAAAGAGCCAUGGAUUUGGGGGGCGCCUGGGUGGUUCAGUCAGUUAAGCAUCUGACUUGUGCUCAGGUCAUGAUCUCACAGUUCAUGAGUUCAAGCCCCACAUGGGGCUCUCUGCUGUCAGCACAGAGCCUGCUUCAGAUCCUCUAUCCCCCUCUCUCUCUGCCCCUCGCUUUUGUAUUCUCUCCCUCUCUAAAAUAAACAUUAAAAAUUAAAAAAAAAAAAAAGAGCCAUGGAUUUGGCCUCAAACCACAUAGAUUCAAGGAGCCAAGGAGAUAUAUGAUCUUAGACAAAUUACUUAGCUUCUUUGUGACCUGCUUUCCUCACCUGAACAGUAGGAGUAUUCACAUUAUAAUACCUACCCCAUUAAGAAUGAAAUGAGAAAUUAGAUGGCUUAUCCAAAAGCACUUUAGAAUAUUCUACAUAUGUGACACAUGUGUUGCACCUGUGUGUGUGUGCACAUAGGCAGAUGUUUAAAAAUUUUUAAAUCAUGCUUUCCUCUUUCCCAUCUCAAUUAGCAAUAGAGGUCGACAUAGGUCUCUGAUUGGCUGGAUUCAAAACAGUUUCCUGAAUACAGUAUAAUAGUGGAUAAUUCAGGGUUUGCAGCCAAACAGACCUGGGUUCAAAUCUUGGCUCCUGUAUUUGGUUGGUUAUGUGAGUUAUGACAAGUUAUUUAAACUCUCUAAGCCUUGGUUUCUUGACACUUAAGAUUAGAGUAAUAAUAGUACCUACCUCAAAGACUAAUGAUGAUGAUGUAUUGAGUUAUUUGUAAAGGACUUGGCACAGUGCUUGGAAUAUACCAAGUAUUUGAUACUAUUAUUUUUAUUAACAUACUUCUGACCACUGAUGGAGCCAAGGAAACAUCAGAGAAGUAGUGGGAGAAUCUUCUUAUGGUAUGUUGUGGGGUGGCAUUUCUACCAUAUGCCUGCCUUUCCUGGGUAGAUUCUUUAUUUUCUGAAGAUAGCAGGGCUGUUCUUAGACCUUUCCAUAUACACUGGGACUCCUCUUCUAUAUCCCCCCUACCUUACUCUCUGAUAGCCAAAGGAUGUUCUCCAUUGACCCUGCCAAGCCAGGAACAGGCCUGGGAAACUUUCCUGGACCUUUCACUCCAGCUCAGGGCCCAUAAGCUCUUUUUUCCCAGUAGCUCCCAGUCCUGAGAGAGAGGCAUCCAAGUAGGGAGAAAUGGACUCAGUCUGUACUUUGCGCAAGUCUGGAUCUCAUGAGUAUAAAUGUGAGAAGAUCAUCUGUGUUUGACUCACUGGAACCUGGAGGCUAGGCUUGAGUCUCCUCCUUUCCACUGGGGCAAAUGUUCCAAGUCCUCCUUGGACAUUGUAAGAGUCUCUCAGGGAUUCCUUGGAGGCAAGUACGACUGUCUACUCCUCAUCUAGAUCUAGAGUUUCAAUGACUUCAUUCCCUAGCGGAGAACAGAAGAAAGUAAUCCCUUACCCAGUCCUUCUGGCCUCAUGACAAAUUGGGAACGCAACAAAAAUUUAUGGAGAGUCCACUAGAUUAGCAGGCCAUAUAGUAGGCUCUGAAGAUCCAGAGAUAAUGAAGAGAUGGAUCCUGAGAGCCAUCAUGGCACUCAUAGUUCAGAAGGUGAAAGAGGCCUUUAGCAACUCACAUUCUUCCUUUGGUAAGACCCUUGCCAACCCUAAGUUCUUAGGAACUUAUAAAGCCCUUGCUUGACCAAUAAUCCACCACAAGUUUCCUUUCCCUGUUCCAAAAUUAUCUGUCCUGUGUCCCAUUCUAUCAGGAAUCCUUUCACCCAUGAGUUUAUGUGAGCAUGUUAAUUGGUGUGGGUAUAUCAGUUGGAAAAGAAGUUCCAUCAAUUAAAGUCCAGAUUUUUAGUUCUAAAGACUUGGUAAUAUUUAGUGAGGAGGCCAGGCUUUUGUGGCAGUUCAUCCUACUGGAUGUGGGAUGAUUACAUUAGGGUUCAAGGGUAUCAGACCUAUAGGAUUUACCCUUAAUACCCAUAUCUUGGGUGUUAAAAACCACUGAUCUUGGGAAGAUCUGAUUUCCAAGGAGUGGCCUCAACCUAGCCUCAGUCUUGGGCAGGAGUUAGGAUCCCAAUUCACUACAAGGGUUAUUUGCUUCUACUUACUUUUCUAUAUUCACACAGACUUGGAAAACAAAUCAUUUGGGGAGGUGAUGUUUAAAAAAAGGAAUAGCAAAAUAGCCUUUAUCCCUCCCUUUCACUCCUUUGUUAGUCAUUUCCAUCAAGGCAAAAGGAUUUCUCCUACUCUACAUUAAGCUACUAUUUAUAAACUCUCAGAUUUGAAAAGCUUUACCAUCUAUAUUAUGUUCAAGGAAUCUGGUGAGCUGAAUAUUUGGGUACAGAAAUUGAUGAGCUCAUUUCCAAACUUGGCCUGUGACCUGAGGCAAGCUGACUCUCCCUCCAGGCUUUAUUUCCCUCACACAGAUUAAAGGAAUACCUUCCUUUUCUUUCCUAGUACUAGUAGCCUCCCUCAUCAGCAACCACUAUAUUCUCUUACCUGUCCCCCCAGUAUUCAGACACCCUGUGAUUAGAUAGAUGGGUUGAACCAGGUGUCAACUGGGUUCUAGCCCAGGCUCUGCUGACCUAACAUAGUGAACUUAGGUGAUUCACUUGGCCCCUCUUGACCUCAUCUCUAAAGCAAGGGUCAGAGUCAACCAGCUCCAUACUGUAUGCAAUAUCCUGACUGUUGCUCAGAGCAAAUUAAAUUCUUGUCCUUAAGGAGCCCCUAAGGUGUUUGGAAGAGUGAGCAUGUGUGAGUUAAAUGUAGUUGUCACUGUUACCAGUCUUCUAUGGUCCUGGUAUGGAGGGUUCAAUGGUUGCUCAGGCCUUAGGCAACAGGUUUCUCUGGGCCCAUUAGUCCCCAUGGUGUCUGGCAUUCCAUAGACUAUUCACAACAAAUACAACACAAGACUGACUUUGGAUUCCUUUUCACCUGGGACCCAUUCAUGUCCAGCUCCUGCCAACACUUUGGAGAUCUUUCCAUUAAGAGGUGAGAAUCUAACAUGGGGCUCAGAGCAGAAAUCAGGAUAAAAAUCUUUCCAACUUAAAUACCUCAAAGGCCUCAGAAAAGUUCAGUAAUCUCUAGGUUUCUUCAUCUAUAAGAUGGGAAUAAUAAUAGUACCCCCCUCCCAGAGUUAUGAUGAGUAAAUCAAUACAUAAGAAGUGCUUAGGACAUUGCAUGGUAUAUAAAAAGUGCUCAGUUAAAUGCUUGCUGCUGUUAUUAGCGUUUCCCCCAUUCUUAAGGCAUCUCUGUCCUUAAUAUGCCACCCUUUCAGGUCCCUCUUGGAAGACUGCUAUGCAUUUGAAGGGGAUUUCAAGUAAAACAUAAAUGCUCUAUAACUACUUUGGCUCUGGAGGGCUCUAAGCAGGAUGCACAUGAAGCAGGUUGCAGAUGGUCCUUGCUGAGGGCUUGAUGCAUCCCUUUAGGGGCCUGGAACUUAACCAGACCAUAAAUCCCUAAUCAUAAUGAGACCUUCAUAUGCAUGAGUCUGAGAUCCAAUCAAAACAUUAAUAAUUCUCCUGAGUUACAAUACAGACCAAAGUUGUGUUUUGAUUUGCAACUGAACAUAUCCUUUUAAACUAAUUAGAACCUAUAUUCACUAAUACUGGUGGCCCACAACAGCAAGUUAUUCCAUGAGUCAAAACAUUUGGUGUCAGCCCUGAAGAUGAGGGGAUUAAAGGAAAGGACAAGACAGGACUGGGCCUGAGCCCUCUCUUCUUCCUGUGGCCAGUGGUUCUCAGGCUCUUCAAGGCAGUAGCUCCUUCAUUUUUUCUCCUCCUUGUCAUCAGAAGCCUACCUUCUCACUGGACAGCAUCCCUCUGAUGACUUCAAGAGGAGGAUGAGAAGUAGCAGCUAAGCUUAUGGGGUGACUGAAGGUAGAGUCUUUGUCAUCUAUGAUUAAGGAAAAGUACUUCCUGUGAUAUUAGCUCUACAGCGUGUACUUUCCCUACUUAGUUCAAGCCCCCAUGUCAAAGGAACCAGCAAUGAGCCUUAACCAGAAUUGGGUAAACAGAGCCCAGAAAAGUUACAGAUCUAGAUGGAGUCAUGGUUUGAGAGCUGCUGAUAAAAUCCGUAUCCUAUCCCUCUCCCGCAGAUUAUUCUUUUUUUUUUUUUUUUUUUUUUUUUUUUUUUUUUUUUUUUUUUAAAUUUUUUUUUUUCAACUUUUAUUUAUUUUUGGGACAGAGAGAGACAGAGCAUGAAUGGGGGAGGGGCAGAGAGAGAGGGAGACACAGAAUCAGAAACAGGCUCCAGGCUCUGAGUCAUCAGCCCAGAGCCUGACGCGGGGCUCGAACUCACGGACCGCGAGAUCGUGACCUGGCUGAAGUCGGACGCUUAACCGACUGCGCCACCCAGGCGCCCCCCGCAGAUUAUUCUUAAUGGCAGUUCCCAAAGAGUCUUUUCUUUAUAGACAUGAGCCCUAAAGGAUUCUGUCCUUGGACUAGGUCCCCAGCUUUCAGUCAUUUAGUUCAUCCCAAAUUAUAAAAGUCCAAUGCAUUUGCCAAAUAUGAGUAAUGAGCUCCUUUUUUUUUUCCUCUAUGGUUAGGUCCAGUGUCUAAGGGUUUAUCUUAGAGAGGGAGAAGGAGGUGAACUGCUUCACCCUGGUGGUAGUUUUUCCUCUUGAGAUAGGUCACACUUGCCCUGUAGUAAUGAAAUAAUGGAAUAAGAAGGAACACCAGGUAUUUCCAUCAGUCCUGUGACUUAAGGUGUGCCUAGGCUUCCCUUACCUGUGGAAACUUAUAAUGCUGAAGGGAACUCUACUAAUGUCUGUUCUGGAAAACCCACCUAGGGCUCAAAGAGGGGCUGCUCUGUAUCUCAGUAUACCAGCUACUACACUUAACAGCUGUUUGACUUAGGGCAGGUUAUUUAGUCUCUCAGAGUCCCAGCUUUUCAACUUAAAAAUGGAAAUUGUAAUAGGAACCUUUUCACUUAGUUGCUGUAAGGAUUGAAUGGGAUGGUACAUACCUAUUAGCACAGUACUUGAGAUUACUAAAUACCCAAUAAAUUACACUGUCAAAUUUAACAAAUUUGAUACACUAUCAAAAUUAACGAUAGUGAUGCCAACAGGAGGGAGAGGAGCUCUCAUAUAUUUUUAACCUUCCUGGAUGGCAAGUGUUCACCUUAUUCUGGGUUCCUCCUGAGCUAUGUAUCAUCCUGUAAGUAGGUGAAGCACAGAGCCCCUUGGGUACCCUAAAAGAAAUGAGGCCACUGCUAAUCAAAAUCAGGCUGUGAGCAAAUGUUAAUUGUAAGAAAGACUGGAAAUAUCUCCCACUAUCUCUUGGGGCUCCUACUAUUGCAUUGAUUAACUGUGAGCCAGAAAAUAAGCGUGAGGAAAAGGUCUGUGCCCUGAUGGCAGGCCACCUGGUUGACCUGAGCAAUCUGAACAGAAAAGGAACUGUGGAAAAAGCUCCACUCAGAUCCUCACUAAAAUCCAUCUUGCUACCCUUUGGCAGCCAUUUUAGGUCUUUUAUCCUAGACACAUGCUGUGUCCAUCAUUUUGUUUCUCCUAACAGCAGGCAAGGACUCUUUCCUUCACUGUUCUGCUUAACAGUGGCCAGGCUCCAUGACUGCCUUAUAACAAGUUUGUAAAAAAGGUCCUUCAGUGACUAUGAAUCCAGAUAUUUGUCGGGAGAGGGUGACUGGAAAGCUAGAGUACAUUCAAAAUUUCAAGGGUCAAAGAAGGGUUAGCUUCAAAGUCUUAGUCCCAUAUCUCCUCAGAUCAUCCCCCAUAGAGGAACUGUCCUUUCUAUUACAAGUUGCAAAUGGAGCCCAAGAGUUGAACCUUGCCAUGGGACUCAACCUGUCUCUAAAGUUCAAGAACACCUGGGUUCUCUGAAAGCAGGAUUGGAUCUAGGUCUUUUUCUGAGUGAUCUGGUUUUCUCUAAGUAAAAAGGUUUCUGGUAGAAUAAAAGUUUGUGGCCUCUGAGCAUAGAUUUGUUUUACAGAGAAAUGAAGCAAAAGUGGACUAGAGAAGAGCAGUUUUACCUGGGAGCUCCCUCUACUGGCUCUUUGGUAGAAAUUCCUUAGCAGUCAUUUUGCCCUGCCCUGUGGGUAUCAAUUUGAGGCAUCUGAGCUUCUUGGUGCCUUGAACCAGGGAGAAAAUAAGGUAUCCUGAGGCACCAAGGAAGAUGAAACUCCAGAGGUUGGCCUCUUCUGCCUCCUUAAUAAUUUCAUCUAACAUUUAUUGGAUGCCAACACAAUGCUAGGCAUCCUACUUGUAUGAUCUCAUUUAAUACACAACUGCAUGUGGCAGGAUUUUACAAACAAGACAGCCAUGACCUGGAACAUUAACUAAGUUCCUGGCAUCACCAAAGCCUAGCAGACUUCCUCAGUGACCCUCAUUGUUUUAGGAUUCUCGUGAGUGAGAACUCAAGAGAAGAAACAACCAAGGGAUGAUGUGAAAUUGGAUGUGGAACUUGUUCUCACCACCCAACAUAUGUAGGUUAUACCUGGCUCUGGAAUUGCUCCAUAAACCUCCUGGGUUCUAGAGCAUUUCAACCUUGCUUUGUCAAAAAUUCAGCCCAUGAGACAACUGAUUACAUGACAAUGCUUGCCCAAUCUGUGCUCUCACUGUGAUGCUCAGACAGAAGAACGCAGAGUAACUACCACAGUGACUAAGAAGAAUUUCCAUUACAGAGGUGAGGCCUUUUUUAAUUUGUGGAACAUGUUCACACCUACGUUUUUAAAAAUAAAAUCUUGUGAGGUGGAUAGGGCACAUAGCAGUACACUCAUUUUAUAAGUUGGGAAUUUAAGAUAUUGAGUGAUGUGUUCCAGAUUUUGGUUAGGAGCAAAUAGCAAAGACCAGAAUCUUCACUCACAGCUUAAAUUCUGACUUUCUGGUUGGCAUCGGUUGAAACUGAGGUCUAGAUUGGGCUUUUUAACUGUAGCAAAUAAAGACUGUGAAACCACCUCCUUGAUCCUUAGAUAUAGACUCUGGCCUGAGUCAUUCCUUUCCCUUUUUCAGGUUGGUUCAUAAUCGAGUACUCUUGAUAUUGAGUCAUUUGGGAAUUAGGAAUUACACAGCCACUUAUCUUUUCAAGGUUGAUCUCUAACCAACCCACAUUUCAAAGGUUAUCUAGGUCCCUGAGAGAAUCUGAAAUAUUAUUUCAACUCUCCUAUACCAUGCAAAGAUGUAAACUUUUUCACUUAAUGCAGAAGAAUUUCAAAGCAUUUGAGACAUGGGUACAUCACAGGAUUCCCAUUCCUCUUUGGGUUGGGUGCUAAUCUCCAAUUUCUCUGUUGUGUCUCUAAAUCUCCAUAAUGGGACAUCAGCCACACCAGGUGUCACCUAGUUCCUCCACCCCUCCUCAAGAUUUCCUGCGAGCUGCCCCUUCUCCUAUAGGCAGAGUGAUGUCAUAAUGGGAUCAGAAUGGUAUCUGCUGAUAACGCAACAGAUACAAGGCUUUCUGCAGCACCUUCUGAGCAAUUGGGCUGUCACUGUCCUAAACGGAGUAGUUGGGUUAAAAGUAUUUGUCCAUGACAUAACUUCCUGGCCCUCAGCUACCAGUGGAAGCAGGUCUCUCUGGUUCGACCUGUUAAUACCACAAACUCUACUUUGCCAGAAAUGUGACUUCUUGAUGAAUAAAUUGGUCCAGACCUGCCAAUUUGAAGUGAACUCAUAUUUGGCAGUCUGCUGGUAAGGCUGAGGAUCCCUUUAUCUAACUGUAGCCUUGAACAUCUGCCCUACCACCAAUAUUGUGUCCCUACCACCCUCAAGGAAGCCAAAAUGAUAUCACUGAGGGAGGGACGGGAGAGUCUGGAACUGCAUGCUCACAGAGAACUGUGAGUGAUGGAAUAUAGGUUGCUGACACCAUAUCCCUUUCAUUCUUGCUUGUUGUAGGAGCGCCAACGAUCAAGAGGAGACCAGAUGAGUUUUCAGAGCAGUCCUCAAACACCCAGGACACACCUCAUCCUUUGCCUCAUGCUUUCUGCAGUGUUGCUGCUCACAUUCAUCUUCCUAUUAACGCUUGCCAUAAUUACCCCUUCCUGAUCACCAUUCUUCCUCCAUUCACUACCCACUCAGCUCUUUCUCCAAGGUGCCUGUCUUAUGGGCAGUGGCUUUGUUCUCUGUUUGGCAAGUUCCCCUCUGAGUUAUGUCCAGAUGGCUAACAUUGGUUUCCCUCUUUCCUCAUGCCCAACAGCCCCUGCCUCAUGCCCAACAGCCCAGCAUUCAGUCCCUAGGUGAGGAAAACCACAGCACAUCCUACCUCUUCCAAAAUGAAGUUGCAAGACUCUGCCAGAGCAGUCACACUCAAUGAAGAUACUCGAGGUAUCUGAGUGUGAUGUAAAUAAAACUAGAUGGAAAGACCAGAAAUCCCUUAGUCCCAGUCAGAUAUAGUGAAAGUGCUUACUCAUGACUGUUUGGACUGAUUAAGAAUGUGGAGGUAGGAAGAAGAGAAAGAGAAGGAUCCUCAGAAUUGGACUGCCCCUGAAUACAGGAUGGAAUCAUCCAGACUUUUUUUCCUCCGAUUAAAUUUGCAUUUCAUUCU